UGGGGAAUAUUGCACAAUGGAGGGAACUCUGAUGCAGCGACGCCGCGUGAACGAAGAAGGCUUUCGAGUCGUAAAGUUCUUUUAUAUGGGAAGAUAAUGACGGUACCAUAAGAAAAAGCCCCGGCUAACUACGUGCCAGCAGCCGCGGUAAUACGUAGGGGGCUAGCGUUGUCCGGAAUCACUGGGCGUAAAGGGUUCGCAGGCGGAAAUGCAAGUCAGGUGUAAAAGGCAGUAGCUUAACUACUGUAAGCAUUUGAAACUGCAUAUCUUGAGAAGAGUAGAGGUAAGUGGAAUUUUUAGUGUAGCGGUGAAAUGCGUAGAUAUUAAAAAGAAUACCGGUGGCGAAGGCGACUUACAGGGCUCAUUCUGACGCUGAGGAACGAAAGCGUGGGUAGAAAACAGG
rnacentral:rRNA from 1 species